rnacentral:lncRNA from 1 species
GGGGGCUGCUGCAGCCACUGCCGCCGGCCCGAGGCAGGUCCCAGCCUGCUCCGUCCUUUAGGAAGAGCUGCGGCUCCCUACCUGCGUCGGCUAGCAACGCCAGGCAAUGCCUUGGGGGCGCAGCUGGGGCGCGGAGCACGGGGCGCGCCCUGCGGCUGCUGCUGGCGUCCCACGGCGGGUUCGCGGGCCGGGCUGAGCCGCAGCGGGCGUCAGGCACCAGGGCCCAGCGCGUCUUCUCCUUGCAGGAACAGAAACACAUUUUCAUUUUUCUCAUGAACUUCUGCAGAGAACAAACAAUUGUGGUAAUCUGCCAAAAGAACAAGCUGUGAAAUGAUUUCUCUUAAAUGAUGUACCUGUUCUGCCAAAGUAACUGGAAUUCUUCUGAAUUAUGUCCAUCUUUUCAACGCAGACGAAUUAAAAAAUCUAAGGCUCAGUCCUCUAAGGACCAAGAUACUGGCCAUGAUCCAGGAAAUCAUCUCUAUUGAGGAAAAGCAUUUAAUCAUAUGUUUUAACUUUAUUGACUUCUAUGGGAGAUAAGCACAUCCUGAAUAGAGCCCUAUUGGGACUGUUCACUGCUUAAUCGCAUGCUGAAGUGUUCUGCAGGAUUGGGCCCCAGAAUGUCUUGCAUUUUGUAGAAUGAAGACACCAAAUAUAAUGAUCUAGUUUGACAAUUUAUUUUACAUUUUAAUAGGUCUGUAUGUGAAUACACUUUGUACUUGAAGACAAUUCAUGUAUCUCUUAAGAAUGAUCUUAAUACAAUGGCUGAGAGGAAUAGUUCAGAAUUAACUAAGAAAAAGGUUGGUAUAUACACCACAGCACAGAAAUAACUUAUGUCUUGGAAUAAUAACUUACCUCUAGAUUAAUAAAUGUAAAGACUGGAGAAGCAUACUAUAGAAACAAGUUUGAAAAGUAAUAAAUAUUUCAGAGGUUUAAAUGCUAAAAGGAGUCUAAUUAAUAAUGGGAAAGGUACCAAAACAAUUCUGCAACACUGUAUUGAUUUUUAAGUCUUCUGUGAAAGGGAACUGCAUGUCAUUACUAGGCUAGAUGGGAGAGCCUUGAAAAAGAUAAAGGCUUUAUGUUCUUCCAAAUAUUCAGUAUUAAAGGUUAAACUCACCUACUAUAUUUAUUCUUCGGAAGCCACGGUGCCACUCGGUAUAUAAGGAAGAGCUCUUUCAAUAGCUAAGCAACAAGUCUCUAAUUUCUCUGUUUCGGUCUAACCAUUAGACAGGUUACAUCUGCAGUGUGUUUCAUGGUUUCUGAAAAAUAAAGGUCCUCUCUGACUUCCAAUAUACAGACAAAUCCAAAUUUAAAUAAAUUCUAUUUUUAAACUUUUAUUCAGCU